GGCCAGCAGCCGCGGUAACACCGGCGGCCCGAGUGGUGAUCGUGAUUAUUGGGUCUAAAGGGUCCGUAGCCGGUUUGGUCAGUCCUCCGGGAAAUCUGACGGCUCAACCGUUAGGCUUUCGGGGGAUACUGCCAGGCUUGGAACCGGGAGAGGUAAGAGGUACUACAGGGGUAGGAGUGAAAUCUUGUAAUCCCUGUGAGACCACCUGUGGCGAAGGCGUCUUACCAGAACGGGUUCGACGGUGAGGGACGAAAGCUGGGGGCACGAACCGGAUUAGAUACCCGGGUAGUCCCAGCCGUAAACGAUGCUCGCUAGGUGUCAGGCAUGGCGCGACCGUGUCUGGUGCCGCAGGGAAGCCGUGAAGCGAGCCACCUGGGAAGUACGGCCGCAAGGCUGAAACUUAAAGGAAUUGGCGGGGGA
rnacentral:rRNA from 1 species